CACCAACAAACUAGCCCAAUACCCCUAAAAUUAACAAAUCAAUAUUUAUACCCCCUAAAACACCCCCUAAACUUAAUUAAAAUAUUCUUUCCCUCAGUACGGAAGACAGAACAGGAACUACGGAGCAAUAGAAAAAGUACCGCAAGGGAAAGCUGAAAAAGAAAUGAAACAAACCAGUUAAGACUACAAAAGCAGAGAUAAAACCUUGUACCUUUUGCAUCAUGAUUUAGCCAGAAACUUCAAGCAAAGAGCUCUUUAGUUUGAAACCCCGAAACUGCGCGAGCUACUCCAAGCCAGCCUAAAAAUAGGGCACACCCCCCUCUGUGGCAAAAGAGUGGGAAGAGCUUUGAGUAGAGGUGACAAACCUACCGAGCUCAGUUAUAGCUGGUUGCCUGAGAAUUGAAUAUAAGUUCAGCCUCCCAACUUCUUUAUUCUUAAGCCCAGCCGCCACGGCUAGCAACCCCUAAGGACAACAAGAAGAAGAGAGAGUUAGUCAAAGGGGGUACAGCCCCUUUGAAAAAGACACAACUUUUCCAGGAGAGUAUGGAUCAAAUUUACUCAAGGAACUAUGUUAAAGUGGGCCUAAAAGCAGCCAUCUUUUUAAAAAGCGUUAAAGCUCAGACAUCCUACCCCCCCCCAUUAUCCUGAUAUUCCCCUCCAACCCCCCUAAUUAUACCAGGCCGUCCUAUAAACAUAGGAGUGACCAUGCUAAUAUGAGUAAUCAGGAAGUCAAGACCUCCUCAUCGCGCAUCUGUAAAUCGGAACGGACACACCACCGAACAUUAACGGCCCCAAUACAAAGAGGGUAUUAAACACUCUACUAAAACACUAGAAAUACCUUUAAACCCAAACCGUUUAACCUACACAGGAGCGCACUUAAAUGAAAGACUAAAAGAAAAAGAAGGAACUCGGCAAACCCCUAAGCCUCGCCUGUUUACCAAAAACAUCGCCUCUUGCUACACCCCGUAUAAGAGGUCCUGCCUGCCCAGUGACACUAAGUUAAACGGCCGCGGUAUUUUGACCGUGCAAAGGUAGCGCAAUCACUUGUCUUUUAAAUAAAGACCCGUAUGAAUGGCAAGACGAGGGCUUAACUGUCUCCUUUUUCCAGUCAAUGAAAUUGAUCUUCCCGUGCAGAAGCGGGAAUAAGUCCAUAAGACGAGAAGACCCUGUGGAGCUUUAGACAAUAGACCCGCUCAUGUCAAUCCUCUUAAAUUAAUACCGAGUAAACCAAAUGGCCUCUGUUCUAAUGUCUUCGGUUGGGGCGACCAUGGGGAAUUACAAAACCCCCACGUGGAUUAGGAGCACCAUCUCCCACCCUCCUACAAACCAGAGAAACACCUCUAGUUAACAGAAAUUCUGACCUAAAAUGACCCGGCAACGCCGAUCAACGAACCAAGUUACCCCAGGGAUAACAGCGCAAUCCCCUUUCAGAGCCCAUAUCGACAAGGGGGUUUACGACCUCGAUGUUGGAUCAGGACAUCCUAGUGGUGCAACAGCUACUAAGGGUUCGUUUGUUCAACGAUUAAAGUCCUACGUGAUCUGAGUUCAGACCGGAGUAAUCCAGGUCAGUUUCUAUCUAUGAAGUGUUAUCUCUUAGUACGAAAGGACCAGAGAAAAGAGGCCCAUGCUACUGGCACGCCUCUCCCCUACCCGAUGAAAAAAUCUAAAUCGAACAAGGGGGCACACUCCCUGAAUAAAAAUAAUAUUAU
rnacentral:rRNA from 1 species